rnacentral:rRNA from 1 species
UAGGGAAUCUUCCACAAUGGGCGCAAGCCUGAUGGAGCAACACCGCGUGAGUGAAGAAGGGUUUCGGCUCGUAAAGCUCUGUUGUUGGAGAAGAACGUGCGUGAGAGUAACUGUUCACGCAGUGAUGGUAUCCAACCAGAAAGUCACGGCUAACUACGCGCCAG